AGAGUUUGAUCCUGGCUCAGAACGAACGCUGGCGGCGUGCUUAACACAUGCAAGUCGAGUGCGCGCCUGUAGCAAUACAGGUGGCGCACGGUGCACGGGUGCGUAACACGUGGGUAAUCUGCCCUCUGAUGGGGAAUAACUCGUCGAAAGGUGAGCUAAUUCCGCAUAAUAUUCCGAGAACUUUGUUUUUUGGACUGAAAGGCGUAAGUCGUCGGAGGAGGAGCCCGCGCACGAUUAGCUAGUUGGUAGGGUAAUGCCCUACCAAGGCUUUGAUCGUUAGCUGGUCUGAGAGGAUGGCCAGCCACACUGGAACUGAGACACGGUCCAGACUCCUACGGGAGGCAGCAGUGGGGAAUCUUGCACAAUGGGCGAAAGCCUGAUGCAGCGACGCCGCGUGGGGGAUGAAGCUUCUCGGAGUGUAAACCCCUUUCGAUCCGGACGAAACCCCGCAAGGGAUUGACGGUACGGAUAUAAGAAGCCCCGGCUAACUACGUGCCAGCAGCCGCGGUAAUACGUAGGGGGCCAGCGUUGUUCGGAAUUACUGGGUGUAAAGGGUUCGUAGGCGGUGCGGCAAGUUGGGAGUGAAAUCUCUGGGCUUAACCCAGAGACGGCUUCCAAAACUGCUGUGCUUGAGUGUGGGAGAGGCUCGUGGAAUUGCAGGUGUAGCGGUGAAAUGCGUAGAUAUCUGCAGGAACACCCGUGGCGAAAGCGGCGAGCUGGACCACUACUGACGCUGAAGAACGAAAGCUAGGGGAGCAAACAGGAUUAGAUACCCCCGUAGUCC
rnacentral:rRNA from 1 species